rnacentral:rRNA from 1 species
AAUCAACGCUGGCGGCGCGCCUCAGACAUGCAAGUCGAACGAUUAAGACUUCCUUCGGGAAGUGUAUAAAGUGGCGCACGGGUGAGUAACACGUAAGUAAUCUACCUUCGAGUGGGGAAUAACGUUCGGAAACGAACGCUAAUACCGCAUAAUGCAGCGGCAUCGCAAGAUGACAGUUGUUAAAGGAAUUUAUUUCGCUUGAAGAGGAGCUUGCGGCAGAUUAGCUAGUUGGUAAGGUAACGGCUUACCAAGGCUACGAUCUGUAUCCGGUCUAAGAGGACGGUCGGACACACUGACACUGAAUAACGGGUCAGACUCCUACGGGAGGCAGCAGUCGGGAAUUUUGGGCAAUGGGCGAAAGCCUGACCCAGCAACGCCGCGUGAAGGAUGAAGUAUUUCGGUAUGUAAACUUCGAAAGAAUGGGAAGAAUAAAUGACGGUACCAUUUAUAAGCUCCGGCUAACUACGUGCCAGCAGCCGCGGUAACAC